UAGGGAAUCUUCCGCAAUGGGCGAAAGCCUGACGGAGCAACGCCGCGUGAGUGAAGAAGGAUUUCGGUUCGUAAAGCUCUGUUGUUAGGGAAGAAUGAUUGUGUAGUAACUAUACACAGUAGAGACGGUACCUAACCAGAAAGCCACGGCUAACUACGUGCCAGCAGCCGCGGUAAUACGUAGGUGGCAAGCGUUGUCCGGAAUUAUUGGGCGUAAAGCGCGCGCAGGUGGUUCAAUAAGUCUGAUGUGAAAGCCCACGGCUCAACCGUGGAGGGUCAUUGGAAACUGUUAAACUUGAGUGCAGGAGAGAAAAGUGGAAUUCCUAGUGUAGCGGUGAAAUGCGUAGAGAUUAGGAGGAACACCAGUGGCGAAGGCGGCUUUUUGGCCUGUAACUGACACUGAGGCGCGAAAGCGUGGGGAGCAAACAGGAUUAGAUACCCUGGUAGUCCACGCCGUAAACGAUGAGUGCUAAGUGUUGGUCUCAUAAGAGAUCAGUGCUGCAGCUAACGCAUUAAGCACUCCGCCUGGGGAGUACGACCGCAAGGUUG
rnacentral:rRNA from 1 species